GCCCCGAUGGCUUAGUGGUACAGCGUGUCACUAGUAAUGACAAGAUCGUCAGUUCGAUUCUGGCUCGGGGCA
rnacentral:tRNA from 1 species